GACGAACGCUGGCGGCGUGCUUAACACAUGCAAGUCGAACGGCAAGGCCCUGCUUUUGUGGUGUUCUCGAGUGGCGAACGCGUGCGUAACACGUGUGUAACCUGCCCUUCACUUUGGGAUAACUUCACGAAACUGGGGCUAAUCCCGUAUAGGAUCUCCUCCUGCAUGGUGAGCGUUGGAUAGUUUCGGCGGUUGGGGAUGGACUCGCGGCUUAUCAGCUUGUUGGUUGGGUAGUGGCUUACCAAGGCUUUGACGGGUAGCCGGCCUGAGAGGGUGACCGGGGUCAUGGGGACUGAGAUACGGCGCAGACUGGUAUGGGAGGCAGCAGGGGGGAAUAUGACACAAUGGGAGGAAGUCUGAUGAAGAAACGCCGCGUGCGGGAUGACGGCCUUCGGGGUGUAAACCGCUGUAGGCUGUGACGAAGCGGGAGUGACGGUAAUGGGUAAAGAAGCACCGGCUAACUACGUG
rnacentral:rRNA from 1 species